ensembl:lncRNA
GGGCAGACGCCAAAAAGGGCCCGAACGUGGAGGCGGACGGCUUUCCUUUCUUUGAGCAUAUCUAGCACCAUAGUCGUGACUUUUGGGUCCUGGAUGUUCCUCUUUGACAAAAGAAGUGGAUAGGCGUUCCCAGUUGUGGCUCAACGGAAGUUCUACAGGCAAGUUCUGCCAAAUCUGAAGCAACAAGUAGUUUGUAUCUUACACAGAUUGUCCCGGAAAAUGGAAAAAGAGAGAACGCCAACCAACAAGUUUUAUGAGGCUAGUUUCAUUUUAUUUCCUGAACCAGAUAAGGAUACCAUAAACCAAGAAAAGCAUACACUCAUUUUGCUCAUAUAGGUCUGAAAAACCCUAGAGGAAUGUUAAGCUGAUUGAAUCCACUGGUAUAUAUAAAAAUGUGUCCAUAUGCUAAGUGAAUGUCAUUCGCAAAAAGACACAUGCUACGUGAUUCCAUUUAUACGAGGAACCUAGAGUAGUCGAGUUCAUAGACAAAGUUGUAGAGUGAGAGGAGGGAGGGAAAUACCAAGUUUUGUCCUGGAAUACAAAGAAGUCCUGGAGACCGGCUGUACAAUGCUGUGAACAUAGCGGGCGCGAUGGAACUACGCACUUCAAAAUGUUCAAGAUAGGAGUUCCUGCCGUGGCUCAGGGGUAAGGAACCCAACCCCAGUGGGUUAAGGAUCCAGCGUUGCCAUGAUCUGUGUGGUAGGCCAGAGACUCUGCUCGGAUCUGGCAUUGCUGUGGCUUCAGCACAGGCCUGCAACUAGAGCUCCAAUUCAACUCCUAGCCUAGGAACGUCCGUAUGCCGUGGGUGUGGCCCUUAAAAAAAAAAAAAAAAAAAGU